rnacentral:rRNA from 1 species
GAUGAACGCUGGCGGCGUGCCUAAUACAUGCAAGUCGAGCGAACAGACGAGGAGCUUGCUGCUCUGACGUUAGCGGAGGACGGGUGAGUAACACGUGGAUAACCUACCUAUAAGACUGGGAUAACUUCGGGAAACCGGAGCUAAUACCGGAUAAUAUAUUGAACCGCAUGGUUCAAUAGUGAAAGACGGUUUUGCUGUCACUUAUAGAUGGAUCCGCGCCGCAUUAGCUAGUUGGUAAGGUAACGGCUUACCAAGGCAACGAUGCGUAGCCGACCUGAGAGAGUGAUCGGCCACACUGGAACUGAGACACGGUCCAGACUCCUACGGGAGGCAGCAGUAGGGAAUCUUCCGCAAUGGGCGAAAGCAUGACGGAGCAACGCCGCGUGAGUGAUGAAGGUCUUCGGAUCGUAAAACUCUGUUAUUAGGGAAGAACAAAUGUGUAAGUAACUAUACACUUCUUGACGGUACCUAGUCAGAAAGCCACGGCUAACUACGUG